rnacentral:lncRNA from 1 species
GCCUUGCUUCCCCAGUCCCCCGGGCUCCGCGAUCCAGGCAGAGCCGCGCGCACUUCCCCGGAGAGAGUUCACAGGCUCCCGGCAAUCCGGACCCCGCGGGCGGGGACGAGGAGAAGGGGUACUCACCUCCCCGCAGCCCGGACUGCCUCGGGAUCUGAAGUUCAAGCGUCUGUCCCAGCCGCGGACCCGUGCUUCUGUAUUUAGGUGGAAAGAGUUCUGGUGGUGGAUUUGGUGCAAAAAGGAUUUGGAGCAUGAUCUGAAGCAUAUCGUGGCUUGAAGAGGAUGUCAGUUAAUAUACACGACCAUAUGGGAUCAAGUUUAGAAGGGCAGCUGCUUCAUUAAAGACAGAGAGAAAGAAAAUGAGAGCAAGAGCAAGAGCCAGGAGGGGGAGAGAGAGAGAGAGAGAGAGGUAGUUUUUCUUGUCAAUCAGACCUCAUGAUUCUUAUAGAGACGGGGUCAGCAAAUGUCUCAG